GGAUGACCCAGGUCCUGGUGACAUUGUUGAGGGGAAGGAAAACUAAAGUGAGCAUUUUCUCUGGCAGAAUCAGACCCAGACAUCACAUGGGACAAAUAACUCAAACAUGUCAUCUAAAGCCUUUUUCCUUCUCCAGUCCAUCUUCCAGGCCCAAGCUUCGAUCUCUUUGGCCAUCUCUCUCUCCUCCAAUUUCUCGGACGCUCUCUUUCCUUCUAUCUGUCGCUUUCUCUCUUUGGCUGUCUCUCACCCGCUCUCCAUCCGACUCUAUCAGUCUCUCUCUCUCUCUCUCUCUCUCUCUCUCUCUCUCUCUCUUUUUCUCUCUCGCUAUGUCUGUCUGUCUCUGUGACUGACUCUGGUUAACAAUGUGGGAUGGGUGUUUGAAGUUCAGCUUCUACUCCGUAAUUGGUGGUUGCAAUUACCAUCUCACUAGGACACGCUAGGAGUGUUUCGCUGUUUUCUGCCUCUUGAGCAAUCCCAAAAUGAUAGGCUGCGUGCGUCUCCUGGAUUUCAGAACGCUGGCACUUUGUUCACUGUAGACUCUGGGCCCUGCUGUGCAGGUGAGAGCGAAAGAGAGGACUUCUGAAACCCUGCCCUGUAAUUCCUUCCUUCCUACGUUCCUAAGUCAAUAAACAGGGACGUGAACAAUGUGUUGCAUCAGACAGUAGGAAAGAAAGACUAGACAUGUCCCUCUCAGUUACAGUGGAGAGCGUUGCGAUGUCUAGCCAAGAGUCUGAAAACAUGCCGGCCACGCCAAUUUUGAGCAACAUGGCAGGACGCCUCACUUUGUGCAUCUCCUUGGCAGAUAUCUGGUGCUCUACAACGAGAGACAAGCUCCAGACAGGCUGUUCUCCACAGAUACAAAAUCAACAAAAUCCCCCUCUUAAUUCUCUUACAAAUGUUGCUUUGGUUCAACUGUUGCUUUUGUUGAUUGUAAAAAAAUAAAAAACAACAACCACGAUAUAAGAUAGAAAGAGGUGAAUACAUAGAGAACAUGCAAGGGAGGAACAAAGGGAAUCUGGCUUCUUGAGAAGGUCGUCGGUUGGUCAAAUUAAAUAAAAGUGAACGGACCAGGAAAGUCUCCUCUGUGAACCUCUUGAGACCCAUCUGACUGGCUGGCAGGCAGGCGCGCGGCCAUGCGAGCCAGGCUUGGGGCCUGGCUGGGAGGGUGGUGGGGUUGGACAGUGGACCUCAUCGCCCCUCACCCUCUCUGUGAUCAGCCAAGGCCCAGUGAGCGGUGGCCCCCCUGAGUUAUAUGUCCCUUUAAUAAUCCAUCUGGGGUGUGCUGGACUCUCCCCCGGCCCAUAAAGACCUGAUUUAUCCCCCUCGCUGGAAAUGAGAGGACCUGGCAUCGCGGGCCGAGAGCUCUACGGCUGGCCCUCCUGUCAGGAGAUAGGGCUGAUGGACCGCCUUCUGCCACCGCUCUCCUUCAGACGCACACACCAUUUACACACACACAUGCACACACACACGUGUACUCGGGUACACACACACCCACGCACACACAAUGUCGCACGGGCGCCACACACACACACACUAGCACAAACACACACACUUGGCAAACACACACAUGCAAGCACACACUCAC
ensembl:lncRNA